UAAUUCAUUUCCCUGAGCGUUUUCCAUUUAUCGUUUAAAAUUUACAGAGACGACUGCCCGCCGGAGCUUAACCACCUCCAGUAUAUCUUCCAUCUCUUCUAUUCCCUCUGUCGAAGGGCCAUGGACGAUCUUCCCUUGCAGAAGAUCGCCAUUUCGGGCCCUACUCUUGCAUCCAUUAUCCAACGGUUCUCGUCCUCGCCGGGCGACGUCGAUGGCCUCCUAUUUGGCCACGUAGCCCAUCUCACCCCGUCCGAUCUCCCGGACGACGACGGGCCCGAAUCGUCCUCCAUUCGCUCAGAUUCGCCUACCCUCGUCGCCACCAUCACAAGCUACUACUGCUCCGGCACGGUUAAUAGCUUCUACGACUCACUGGGUCGAAUUGAUGUCAAUGCUCUUUCCCUGUUACUCAGCGAUCGGGGACCCGGAAGGUCUCUCAUCGGAUGGUUCACAGGACGACGGAAAACCCCUUUGAGGCCAUCUAUGAGAGAAUUCUCAGUUUCCGCUUCUCUAUGCAGCAAAACCCUAAACCUGAGUCCCCAUGAAGACUUCCUGUCUUCCCUCAAUUCUCCCCCAUGUGUUUUCAUUAUCUUCUCGACGCCGUUUUCUGAUCAACUGGUUCACACACACGAGCACCGUGCUUUCCAAUUUCGUCGAUCCACCGGUGUUUUUGAGCCGAAAUCUAUGGACGUCAUCAAUAUUGGUCCGGCUUUUCGAGGACAUUAUGGUACGUUUUGCCCAAGUUCUCCAUUCCCGUGGUUGUCCUGUGGGUUGAGCGAUACAGAAGGGAAAAGCCAUAUGAAUUUGAAUCAGAUGAGACGGAUAUCGAAGGAUCAGAAAACGUUGGAUUCGUGUGCUGAAGGGUUUGAGUUUGGGAGGAUGAGUUCUUUAAUGGGUUCGGAGGCGGUCAAUUAUACUUCCAAGCUGGAAAACUUGUAUGAGAAGAUGCUUGCGAAGCUUGAGGAGCUGGCACGGCUGGUAGAGAAGAGUUCGGAUAAGGUUCUUGAACAGGAAAACCGAAACAUAAAGUUACGACAAAAGGUUGCAGGCUUGGAAUAAAAAUUAAGUUCUCAGAGGACCUUUAAUCUUGUAAGAGCUCUGCCAUUGAUGUAAAAAGCUAUUCCAUAACCUCACCGCUUCCAAUCUUUCUCAACAAACAGCCAGAAAUAUGCCUUUGAUAUGUUUUACAUACAACAUAUGGGUGAAAAUCUUUAGCAUAUUUGCCAUCAAAAGUUGCUGCCCUGCAACAGUGGAAGCUUUUGUAAAAGGCUGGUGGGUGGAUGCAAGGUCUGAGUAAGAGAGGGAGAAGUCUAUGGCAAAUGGUCCCAGGAGCAGUUUUCUGGUUGAUUUGGCAGGAAAGAAAGUCAAGGCUCUUUCGACGUAAAGGCUGUCAAGAAGAGGAAGUGUGGCUGAAAAUAGUUGGGAAGCUGCUAUCCUGGUCAUCUGCAUGUCUAUCAAGGAAUAGUGUUCCCCUUAGUUCUCUCUUUCAAAUUGAAAACCUUUUUGUAUUAACAAAUGGGAUGGUGGAAGUUUGUUGUAUUUCCCACUGUAUAGCCUCUGGUUGUACAUGGGUCUUUUUGAUUUUUUUCUUAAUGAAUUAGUACUUUACCUCUUCUCAAUAAAGGUUAGUCAACUCCAUAUAUAGAUCAUCAUGGAAGUCUUGUGGAGUGCA